rnacentral:lncRNA from 1 species
CGGUCCAUGAAGCCCCUGGGAGGAGAACCGAGCGAUCUUUUUGGAAGUCCAGAAGAAGGUAUUUCUUCAAGCAUGCCUAAUAGGAUGGCAUCUGUUAUUUUCGGACCAACUGAAGAACCUAAAAACAUACCCAGGAGGACAAAUUCUUUAGGAGGAAAAGGAAGUGGGAUCUUCGUUGAAUCAAAUCCUGUGCAAACUCGACAACGUUUGAAUCCACCCGGUGGGAAGACCAGUAACAUAUUUGGGUCCCCAGUCACUGCCACUGUGCCUCUGGCACACCCAAACAAGCCCAAGGAUCAUGUUUGGCUGUGUGAAGGUGAAGACUCUAAGUCUGACCUGAAAGCUGCAACAGACUCCACACCCAGAGGAGAGCCGGGCGACAAAGGAAGCUCAAAAGAAGUAGAGCAUGCAAAGAUACCAGAGCCCACACCUACAGUUGACACUCAUGAGCCCAGACUGGGGCUACGACCUCGCUCCCACAACAAAGUCCUGAACCCACCAGGAGGCAAAUCCAGCCUCUCCUUCUAUUGA